UGGUCAAGUUAUUAAGGGUGCAGGGCGGAUGCCUUGGCACUAGGAGCCGAUGAAGGACGUGAUAAGCUGCGAUAAGCUUCGGGGAGUUGCACGUAAACUUUGAUCCGAAGAUUUCCGAAUGAGGAAACUCACUUAGAGUAAUGUCUAAGUAUCAUUAAGUGAAUACAUAGCUUAAUGAGGGGAACUCAGGGAACUGAAACAUCUAAGUACCUGAAGGAAGAGAAAGAAAUUCGAUUCCGUAAGUAGCGGCGAGCGAACGCGGAUUAGCCCAAACCAAUAAAGUUUUCUUUAUUGGGGUUGCGGACAUAUCAUAACGAAGAGGUAUCGUAAUUGAAGAGGUUUGGAAAGACCCACCACAGAAGGUAAUAGUCCUGUAUGUUAAACGAGAAGACUUUAGAUAUGAUCCAGAGUACCACGGGACACGUGAAACCCUGUGGGAAGCAGGAGGGACCACCCUCCAAGGCUAAAUACUACCUAGUGACCGAUAGCGUAUAGUACCGUGAGGGAAAGGUGAAAAGAACCCCGGGAGGGGAGUGAAAUAGAACCUGAAACCCUGCACUUACAAGCUGUGGAAGCACAUUUCUUGUGUGACCGCGUACUUUUUGUAGAACGGGCCAACGAGUUACGUUAAGUAGCAAGGUUAAGCACUUAAGGUGCGGAGCCGUAGCGAAAGCGAGUUUUAACUGAGCGUUCAGUUACUUGACGUAGACCCGAAACCGGGCGACCUACCCAUGAGCAGGAUGAAGCGAAAGUAAAAUUUCGUGGAGGUCCGAACCCACGAGCGUUGAAAAGCUCGGGGAUGACUUGUGGGUAGCGGUGAAAUUCCAAUCGAGCCCGGAGAUAGCUGGUUCUCCCCGAAAUAGCUUUAGGGCUAGCCUCAAGGUGAGAGAUACGGAGGUAGAGCACUGAAUGUCCUAGGGGGUAUUGCACCUACCGAAGACUAUCAAACUCCGAAUGCC
rnacentral:rRNA from 1 species